AACGUAGGAGACAAACGUUAUCCGGAGUUACUGGGCGUAAAGGGCGUGUAGGUGGUUGUGUAAGUCUGGCGUUGAAAUUUUUCGGCUUAACCGGGAAAGGUCGUCGGAUACUGCAGAACUAGAGGACGGUAGAGGCGUGUGGAAUUCCCGGUGUAGCGGUGAAAUGCGUAGAUAUCGGGAGGAACAUCAGUGGCGAAGGCGACCACCUGGCCCAACACUGACGCUGAGGUGCGAAAGCGUGGGUAGCAAACAGG
rnacentral:rRNA from 1 species